rnacentral:lncRNA from 1 species
GAAGCUCUCAGAUCUCUUACCUUGCAAUUCUAGCUUUCAAAUGCCGUGCCGAGCUUCCUUUCCCACACCCCAAGCCCUUGUACCGGGGAUUACAAUGAUCAUUUGUGUGUACGAGGUGAUUGUUCCUGCCACAUCAGAGGCCUUGGGAGGAUGACCUAAGGCUGCUUUCUCCCAUCCUGACUUCCUCUACUCAGCACUGUAACUACACGUACAAUUUGCUGGUUCUUCUAAAGGAUGACUGACUGGUGCUGCGAUGUGGUCUUCAGGCAGCCAGGGGGGAUCUCCAUAUGAGGAAAAGCUAUAUAUAUGUAUGUGCAUCUUCAUGAUAAACAUCUGGAAGAGUACAUAAGAAAACAUGAUGGCAGUUACAUUUGGAGAGUGAAACAAGAGGUCUGUGAUAGGAGUUCCCAAGUGGAAGAGAGGAACACUGGAGCUCCGCUGAGCCUAGGAGUGCUGCCCGCGGUAAUCUGAAAUCCAUCUGAAGUCAGAGGAUAUUGUUCAGAUCACUUUUUUUCUUUUCUGAGACUGUCUCUCUGAUCAUAUACAUUUUAAAAGUAUUUUAUGAGGAAAACGUUCAAGCCUACUCUAAAGCAGAAAAAACAAUAUAAUGAAAAACUGGGUACCUAGAUCCAGCUUCAAUAAUUUCUGCCCCAAUUUCAUGCACUGUAUAAUAUAAUCAAAUAUGCUCUGUAUAACAAUAAUAAUAAAUUAUGGUGUAUCUGUGUUUGAUGGUGAGUGGAUAACGACCAUACGUUUUUACCUUUUGGGCUAUGGUUCUUACUCCAGGACAGGAUGGAUAUUUUUUCUUCCAAUACAAAGUCUUAAUGGGUUACCAGCAGUGACGUCUUAAAAAGCACAAUAUGAGAGAUAACAAUAAAUCAGCUAUCAAAAUAAGAUACCGUGGGGAUACAAAUAUUUCAUGCUGAAAAUAAAGCAAAGUCGGAGGAGUGUGAAGACUGGAGUAUAGGAGCGUGGAAACAAAAGACCUUUUGGAGCUGUUCUGUGCCCAGGAGACGAUGUGUAUUGGUUCAUUCCAGGUUGGGAAGGACAGUUAAAGGGCACAACCUUCAGGACAAGACCGCUGGAUUACCUGAGAGGCACAGCUGUCCUCUGCUACCGGGAGAGCCUGCUGCAGGUAGCUCAUCUGCCCUGAGAGAAAUGGAGACUCAAGGGAAGAAAUUUGUUAUGUUGCCAUUUUUCGGUUAUCCACGAAAAUGCUUGGGAACAUAGGCAUGAAUUAUAAAAGAUAGAAGAUAAUAAAAGCACUUGUAUUUGACUUUGG